GGCUUUUACCAACUUGCGUCACUUGUGGUGUAGGCGAGACAUUCGUUUACUGACGAAAGGACGCAUUUACUGUGCA
rnacentral:pre_miRNA from 1 species